rnacentral:rRNA from 2 species
UUAAGCGACUAAGCGUACACGGUGGAUGCCCUGGCAGUCAGAGGCGAUGAAGGGCGUGCUAAUCUGCGAUAAGCGCCGGUAAGGUGAUAUGAACCGUUAUAACCGGCGAUACCCGAAUGGGGAAACCCAGUGUGACUCGUCACACUAUCAUUAACUGAAUCCAUAGGUUAAUGAGGCGAACCGGGGGAACUGAAACAUCUAAGUACCCCGAGGAAAAGAAAUCAACCGAGAUUCCCCCAGUAGCGGCGAGCGAACGGGGAGGAGCCCAGAGCCUGAAUCAGCAUGUGUGUUAGUGGAAGCGUCUGGAAAGGCGCGCGAUACAGGGUGACAGCCCCGUACACAAAAGCGCAUGUGCUGUGAGCUCGAUGAGUAGGGCGGGACACGUGGUAUCCUGUCUGAAUAUGGGGGGACCAUCCUCCAAGGCUAAAUACUCCUGACUGACCGAUAGUGAACCAGUACCGUGAGGGAAAGGCGAAAAGAACCCCGGCGAGGGGAGUGAAAAAGAACCUGAAACCGUGUACGUACAAGCAGUGGGAGCACAGGUUUACCUGUGUGACUGCGUACCUUUUGUAUAAUGGGUCAGCGACUUAUAUUCUGUAGCAAGGUUAACCGCAUAGGGGAGCCGGAGGGAAACCGAGUCUUAACCGGGCGUUAAGUUGCAGGGUAUAGACCCGAAACCCGGUGAUCUAGCCAUGGGCAGGUUGAAGGUUGGGUAACACUAACUGGAGGACCGAACCGACUAAUGUUGAAAAAUUAGCGGAUGACCUGUGGCUGGGGGUGAAAGGCCAAUCAAACCGGGAGAUAGCUGGUUCUCCCCGAAAGCUAUUUAGGUAGCGCCUCGUGAAUUCAUCUCCGGGGGUAGAGCACUGUUUCGGCUAGGGGGCCAUCCCGGCUUACCAACCCGAUGCAAACUGCGAAUACCGGAGAAUGUUAUCACGGGAGACACACGGCGGGUGCUAACGUCCGUCGUGAAGAGGGAAACAACCCAGACCGCCAGCUAAGGUCCCAAAGUCAUGGUUAAGUGGGAAACGAUGUGGGAAGGCCCAGACAGCCAGGAUGUUGGCUUAGAAGCAGCCAUCAUUUAAAGAAAGCGUAAUAGCUCACUGGUCGAGUCGGCCUGCGCGGAAGAUGUAACGGGGCUAAACCAUGCACCGAAGCUGCGGCAGCGACGCUUAUGCGUUGUUGGGUAGGGGAGCGUUCUGUAAGCCUGUGAAGGUGGCCUGUGAGGGUUGCUGGAGGUAUCAGAAGUGCGAAUGCUGACAUAAGUAACGAUAAAGCGGGUGAAAAGCCCGCUCGCCGGAAGACCAAGGGUUCCUGUCCAACGUUAAUCGGGGCAGGGUGAGUCGACCCCUAAGGCGAGGCCGAAAGGCGUAGUCGAUGGGAAACGGGUUAAUAUUCCCGUACUUGGUGUUACUGCGAAGGGGGGACGGAGAAGGCUAUGUUGGCCGGGCGACGGUUGUCCCGGUUUAAGCGUGUAGGUGUGUGUUCCAGGUAAAUCCGGUUCACUUUAACACUGAGGCGUGACGACGAGGCACUACGGUGCUGAAGCAACAAAUGCCCUGCUUCCAGGAAAAGCCUCUAAGCAUCAGGUAACAUCAAAUCGUACCCCAAACCGACACAGGUGGUCAGGUAGAGAAUACCAAGGCGCUUGAGAGAACUCGGGUGAAGGAACUAGGCAAAAUGGUGCCGUAACUUCGGGAGAAGGCACGCUGACACGUAGGUGAAGUGAUUUACUCAUGGAGCUGAAGUCAGUCGAAGAUACCAGCUGGCUGCAACUGUUUAUUAAAAACACAGCACUGUGCAAACACGAAAGUGGACGUAUACGGUGUGACGCCUGCCCGGUGCCGGAAGGUUAAUUGAUGGGGUCAGCGCAAGCGAAGCUCCUGAUCGAAGCCCCGGUAAACGGCGGCCGUAACUAUAACGGUCCUAAGGUAGCGAAAUUCCUUGUCGGGUAAGUUCCGACCUGCACGAAUGGCGUAAUGAUGGCCAGGCUGUCUCCACCCGAGACUCAGUGAAAUUGAACUCGCUGUGAAGAUGCAGUGUACCCGCGGCAAGACGGAAAGACCCCGUGAACCUUUACUAUAGCUUGACACUGAACAUUGAGCCUUGAUGUGUAGGAUAGGUGGGAGGCUUUGAAGUGUGGACGCCAGUCUGCAUGGAGCCGACCUUGAAAUACCACCCUUUAAUGUUUGAUGUUCUAACGUGGACCCGUGAUCCGGGUUGCGGACAGUGUCUGGUGGGUAGUUUGACUGGGGCGGUCUCCUCCUAAAGAGUAACGGAGGAGCACGAAGGUUGGCUAAUCCUGGUCGGACAUCAGGAGGUUAGUGCAAUGGCAUAAGCCAGCUUGACUGCGAGCGUGACGGCGCGAGCAGGUGCGAAAGCAGGUCAUAGUGAUCCGGUGGUUCUGAAUGGAAGGGCCAUCGCUCAACGGAUAAAAGGUACUCCGGGGAUAACAGGCUGAUACCGCCCAAGAGUUCAUAUCGACGGCGGUGUUUGGCACCUCGAUGUCGGCUCAUCACAUCCUGGGGCUGAAGUAGGUCCCAAGGGUAUGGCUGUUCGCCAUUUAAAGUGGUACGCGAGCUGGGUUUAGAACGUCGUGAGACAGUUCGGUCCCUAUCUGCCGUGGGCGCUGGAGAACUGAGGGGGGCUGCUCCUAGUACGAGAGGACCGGAGUGGACGCAUCACUGGUGUUCGGGUUGUCAUGCCAAUGGCACUGCCCGGUAGCUAAAUGCGGAAGAGAUAAGUGCUGAAAGCAUCUAAGCACGAAACUUGCCCCGAGAUGAGUUCUCCCUGAGACUUAGAGUCUCCUGAAGGAACGUUGAAGACGACGACGUUGAUAGGCCGGGUGUGUAAGCGCAGCGAUGCGUUGAGCUAACCGGUACUAAUGAACCGUGAGGCUUAACCUU